UAGGAUGAAACCAUUAAUUUCCUACAUCAAUGGGCUCCACAUAAGUGUGCUACACCUGGCCGGCUAUACCUCAUGAAUCAUUAUACCAUGGGUUUAAUCUUGUACGGCAUGAGAGAGCAAAUGGCCAGGCAAGGGUUAAAAAAGGUGAGUAAUUAUAUUAUUAUUAUAAAUGUUAACAUCAAGUUGUUUUGAAACAAUCCAUUUGAAAAAGCAGCUUUAGUUUUUUGGUUGUUCCAUUGGAGGAAAAAUACAUAAUGCAUACUGGGUACAUUCUAUUUGAGUUUUGCAGCAAAAUACAAUUAUUUUUCCAUUUUUACGCAUGUUGUCAGGUCACAUUUGAUGACUAUGAUGGAGCCAUUGGAUUUGUCAACAUAAGAAAUGUGCACUGGAAGUUUGUGUAAACUGCCUCCUCCUGCAUUCCGGUGUUUGUCGUGCUUUUGGGUUCCAGUACCUGUAACCCUUACACAAAUGAAGUUGACGACUCCAGAAAGGCUGGCCAAAGACACAGUAUUUCAAAAUGCGCCAGAACAGACUUGGAAAGGAGGACUGGGUUCACAUCAAGUGGCAGCCGGGCCAGAUAAUCCACACCUGCCAGAAAGAUGGCAGCAGUUGUGGGAUCUUUGUCAUGCAGAUGGCCAAGAUGACGGUGAUGGAACUACCAAAGAUUCCGCAGCAUUUUCGCAUCAACUCAUCUAAACAAUCUAUUGAAAAGCUAAGAAGAAACAUGGCUGAAGACAUUCUGAAACAAUCAGUUUCAAAGGAUGAGCUCUGUUCCUUCUGUGGAAUUGAGGACCUGCCCAAAACUGCUAUUGAUGCUGUUUGGAUACAGUGUGGAACUUGCUCAAGAUGGUUUCACACGCAGUGCCUUGGGAUGACAGCAGCACAACUACCAAACAACAUUGGUAUUGUGUGUUGUGAAUACUUAUGUACAUGUUAUGUUUUCGUUCUUUAUUUUUAAUAAAUU